rnacentral:rRNA from 1 species
GGGCAAUCUGCCCUUCACUCUGGGACAAGCCCUGGAAACGGGGUCUAAUACCGGAUAACACCUUCCUCUGCAUAGGGGUUGGUUAAAAGCUCCGGCGGUGAAGGAUGAGCCCGCGGCCUAUCAGCUUGUUGGUGGGGUAAUGGCCUACCAAGGCGACGACGGGUAGCCGGCCUGAGAGGGCGACCGGCCACACUGGGACUGAGACACGGCCCAGACUCCUACGGGAGGCAGCAGUGGGGAAUAUUGCACAAUGGGCGAAAGCCUGAUGCAGCGACGCCGCGUGAGGGAUGACGGCCUUCGGGUUGUAAACCUCUUUCAGCAGGGAAGAAGCGAAAGUGACGGUACCUGCAGAAGAAGCGCCGGCUAACUACGUGCCAGCAGCCGCGGUAAUACGUAGGGCGCAAGCGUUGUCCGGAAUUAUUGGGCGUAAAGAGCUCGUAGGCGGCUUGUCACGUCGGAUGUGAAAGCCCGGGGCUUAACCCCGGGUCUGCAUUCGAUACGGGCUAGCUAGAGUGUGGUAGGGGAGAUCGGAAUUCCUGGUGUAGCGGUGAAAUGCGCAGAUAUCAGGAGGAACACCGGUGGCGAANGCGGGAUCUCUGGGCCAUUACUGACGCUGAGGAGCGAAAGCGUGGGGAGCGAACAGGAUUAGANACCCUGGUAGUCCCGCCGUAAACGUUGGGAACUAGGGUGUGGGCGAC